GCUCUAUCUCCUUGCACUUGUACGGUUUGUUCAUGCUGGGCGCGAUAUUCCAGCUGACGACAGGUGCGGGUAUCUGUGAAAACGAUACAGAGAUCGUCAACGUUCGUUGCAAUUUGUUACAAAAAUAUUUUUAUAACCGGAUGUUUGAAUUUAUUAGUAUUUCGAGAUGAAAAGAGUAGAUAUGUUUUAAGUAAACAGAGACUGUAACGUGAUUUCAUUGUGGGAGCUGUGUGCCAACGUUUCGAGUGGAUUUGAUCGACGUCCCGUUGGUGAUUAGACGCGGCUGCGAUAUUGAGUUUCGCAGUUGGACUGGUGUAACUUUGGAGAGUCCUGUAGUGUUGAGAAUGUCGUGCGGGAGAGUUUGUCGGCGAUGAGGAACAACUCGGUGGUCCUAUGGCUGAUUCAGGUCUCGUAUCGAGUCGAACGCUUUCUUCCGAGACGUUCACGUCCUUCAGGUCUUUCGGGGAUUCUUGAAAGAAAUCGAUUUUUAUUUACCUUCAACGCGUUGCUUCGUAGAAUACAGGAAAAACCAAGAUACCUUCGGAAGAAUUUCUUAUUUCUGAUAUUUCACUACUUCAUAUAAAAGACUAAAAAUGUAGCACGAUUUAUACUGACAUAAUCUUUAAGUAGAAUUUUUAAAUGGUUUUACGUAUGAACGUUUUAUAGAAGAAAUAACAUAGAAACGUAUAUGACAAAGUUAUAUGAAAGCAGCAAAUAAAUGUUCAUUAAAAAACACAGUGAUGAAGAUGGUAAGUUACGUAUUUUCUGCCAUUCUACUUUUAAUAUUAAAACAGGACUAAUUUUUGUCUCUCAUUUUCUUUACUUCUUCCUCUUGUUUAAAACGAGUCAUACGCGUUCUACGUUAUUUAGGUCAGAAUACCAUUUAACGUAGCAUUAAAAAAAAAAGAGAUUGUAAAUAAGGGAAAACCAUAAAUUACCCAACCUAUGUAAAAAUAUCUAAAAGUUUCCACGUGAAAACAUUUUCUAUAAAUAUAUUUACUUGCCAUUAUAAAACAAGUAACGUAUACCUUGCAAUAGUUUUGCAAUGAGGCUUUUGUACGAUGUUGUGUACCUUCAAAAUUGAAGAAAGGUAAUAAAGUAAAUUACUCGAUUCAAGUUUCAAUGGCCACGUGCGUUGCGAAGGGGGAAAAUUUUAUCUGCGUUCCUCGAAAGCAAGAAGCGAAGGAUUUCGUGUUAUAAAACUCACCGGAAGUGGCCACUAUCGCGUACGUAGAUUUAUAUUGUGGGCUGACAAGGGGUGAAUUGAAUUGUUCCAUUGUCAAAGACUCGUGCAUGCUUCCGUCCUCUGGCAUGUCCGGCGAUACGUGAUUGGCAGUCUCUGUCAGCAUUCCACCGGGAGUUAAAUUUAGUAGGAGUCCCUGUAAACCGUUCGAAUUGUUUGUAUCGAUCGAAAGUAUACAGAAAAGCCUGCCAUAUUAGCCAAAUAUAAUUUCUACAUCGCGUACAGUUAUAUUCGUUAAUGGAGUACUUUUCUAUUUCUCGUUUCGAACGAAACCCGCUCGUGUUGACUGGUAUAUACUACAGAUGACAAAGUUUGGAGACUUUUAAUGACAAAUUAAAAUCCGUCUUAUCGUUCUGGAAAA